GCUUUAUACCACAAAUAUAUAGCUUGUUUUGACGGAGUUUAGCUUAAUAUGGGAGAUAUUUUGUUGGGGUGACAGGAAGAUAUAAGAAACUCUUCUUUUAGUAGACCAUAAAUACAUGAAUUAAAUGAUCCAGUAAGAGUGAUUAAAAGACUAAGU
rnacentral:rRNA from 1 species